CUUAGGAUGCCCGUGAGCAUACCUCCAAGCUUUAGUUAACCCAUGAUCUACUAUAGUCUCUUGGCUUGAUGAUGCAUCUUCAAUUAAUUUUUGAUUAUCAUCUUGUAAUGUCAUCUCAUCUAUCUUUUCUUUAAGAAUUUCAGCAUCAUCAUCAAAAUUAACUCUCUUGCUAGAAGAAAUGUCACUAGAAUCAUCAAAUACAACAUGUAUAGAUUCUUCUAUAACUAAGGUUCUUUUAUUAAAGACCCUAUAGGCUUUGCUAGUUGUAGAAUACCCCAAGAAUAU
rnacentral:lncRNA from 1 species